rnacentral:tRNA from 1 species
AAGGAUUUAAGUUAAAUAAACUAGUAACCUUCAAAGUUAAAAAUGGGAGUUUCCUAAACCUUA